AGUGUCUUCAUUCAAGAAAUGAGUUGUAAAAGGAGACAAUUUGAACAUUGAGCUAACAGUUCGCACAAAAGGAGAUGCAAAGCAGUCUUGAAAAGAGGUGAUGACUGCAGCAACCCUCAGGAAGGAGCAGCGCACGGCGAUACCCCGUGCCUACGGAGCGACAGGUGCCAGGAUGUGGAGUAUAUCCUCGUGAAGCGACGGUGCCGUCCAGUGCCCUCAGUGGCCAUAUUCCCAACCACCGUUGCCGCGCCACAGUUCAAACUAACUGAUCGCCAGGAGAUUUCUGCUACGUGAAAUUUGUUGGCUCCAUUCUUCAGGAACUCCCUGGUCUUUUUUUUUGGAGGUGAUAUUGUCAUCGUCAAAAUCUUAUUCAAACAGACAAUUUUGUUAUAUUUCUGAAGAAAAUGGUGUGUAUUAUAUUUAUAUGUUGUUGAACAUUUGUUGAUGUAUUUAUUUUUGUUUUUGUUGUUACCUGGUUCACAGUUGUUAAAAUAGCCAAUAAAUGCGUGUUCCCAAAAGAACAUGCGCCUCAAACUGCUUA